rnacentral:rRNA from 1 species
UGGGUAACCUGCCUCAAAGAGGGGAAUAGCCUCCCGAAAGGGGAGAUUAAUACCGCAUAAUAUGUUUUAGUCGCAUGACUUAAACAUCAAAGGAUUUUCUUUUAGAAAUUCCACUUUGAGAUGGACCCGCGGCGCAUUAGCCAGUUGGUGAGGUAACGGCUCACCAAGGCAACGGUGCGUAGCCGACCUGAGAGGGUGAUCGGCCACAUUGGAACUGAGACACGGUCCAGACUCCGUACGGGAGCAG